rnacentral:lncRNA from 1 species
UGACAGUCAAAGGAAUAUGUGUUUUUGAACAAAAGUCAUUCAUGAAAUAUAAAAAAGAUAAUUCCAUGAUAAUAAAAUAUACAUGCAUCUUAUUUAAUAACACAAAUAACAAAAGAAAUUGUUUAUCAGCUGGUUUAUACACUUUCAUGACUAGAGAAAGCUAUCAGUAGCUAAAUUAAAGUUCAACUAUAUGUUGUUCUACAUAUAAAACAGAUACAAGGACAGGUACAUAGAAAACCAUAAUCAUCAGUCAAUGGUAUAACUUAAGACAAGUUAUUAGAGAAAAUAUCAGGCAUACUGUUAUUGUGUGAAUUCUAAAAGGGUUAUCUCCUCAUAACAUCAGUUAUGUUAAAAAAAUCACAAGUAGGUUAUUAUACAAAGAAACAACGGGUGUAAUAAUGUUAUUCAGUUAUCACUGAAAUUUUGGUUGGUUAAAAGCAGAUCAAGUCAAAUAAUUUAAAAUUUAGCGUUGUUAGUUUUGUUGCUUAUAUAUAGUUUAAUUCCAACAUUUGCCUCAUUUCUAGUGAAACAUUGUGGGCACACCGAUUACCAUUUUGUUGUAUUUUUAAGAUAACUUCUUCUUUAAUUUUCUUUAAGAAAUUGAUUUAAUAUUUUCACAAUUUUGGGAUUACUUAAGCAAUUUGUCAAUGAUACUGUUUGAUUAGAUGGUUAUUAUUUCUUCAAUUUCAACUGAAAAGAUGUUUACAAACAAGAUAGGGUCAAGCCAAAAUUAACAACAUGCAUGCAAUUACAGUUUGAAGUUGUCUUCCCCAAAAUAAUCAUUGAAAGUGUAAUAACAAGCAUGUUGUUACUUCCUGCUUGACCCCGACUUGUUGCUUUACAUCUGUAAUUACUUUUCCUCAAUGACCAGUAGAUUUUACAACAGUUGUUUGCAGAUUAAUUACCGAUUAAUUAUAAGGUACCAUAGAUAAAUUGCUAAAAUAAUCCCCAAAGCAUGAAAAUGUUAAAUCAAUUCCAGUAAAAAAUCAGACUCAAGAAGAAGUGAAGGGUGGAAUUUAAAAGUAUCCAACCCUAUUUGUGUUUCACCUGACCAAAAUGUCUCUGAUAACUGACAUUUGUUAUUACAGCCAUUGUUUCUAUGACACAGACAAUUCAUGAACUGUUUGUAGUGUUGUUUAAGGGUUGAUCUAAGUCAAAAUAAGAAACGAGUUAUCAUAUAUGAAUUCAAACAAAAACACAUAAAAACUUGGUGCAUACUUGCUUAACACAAAGAUAAAAUUGGAAAUACAUAAGUACAGAAAAUAAAAAAAACAUUGUAGAAAUAAAAUACAACCUCUAUCUACCAUGAUUACUAUUUACAUAGAUGUACAAUGUGAAUAACAAAAUUUUAUAUUCCUGAGACUGCUAAACAUUCACAACAGGGUUUGCCAUCCAUACAUAAAAACUGAUUAAAAUGGAAUUGUGACAUUCUAAAAUAUAAAGAUUAAUUAUCUAAUAGUUAAAUGAUUCUUCCAGCUUUAUUCGAUUUUCAAUUCAUAUCAGGAAAUAUUAUUCAAUGACAAAAUUGUGGAUUCAGGUGAAGUACUAUCUCUGAUAAAAAGAAAAAAAAACAAAAAACUGCUGCACAAUGAGAGCAUGAUACACCUAUAUAUUGUAGAAAUAUGCAGAUUCUACACCACCACAGCGAUUAACUUUGAAAUGCAAUGUAAGAGAUAUUCUUAAGUAACGGCGCAAAAAAGAGGAAAGUGCAAAAACUUGUUAACAAAAAAAAAAGGAUUUUCAACAGAAAAUAAACAGACCUUGAGACCAUCACAAAAAAUUAUGUUAAGUUUGAAGUAAUUCGCAUAGGAUGAACUCAAAAUAUGGUGCAACAUGUUAACACAGACAUUUUUUUUUUAACAAUAAUGUGUUCCGUCUUAAAAGGCAGGCGUAUACAAAUAACUGAAUACUUGAAAUGAAACACGGCUAAACAAUCAGAUAAAUUACUUCAAAUCCCCCUUUAUUCCACCAGAAUUUCGUUAACAUUCCUGAGAUUUUAAAAGUGAUAACAAUAGCUCACAUGGCCAAUAGGGCUAGGAAAGCUCAAUGGAGAAAUGAAAGCACCACAUAGGACUUACAAAAGUAUAUAAAACAAUAAAGUGCUUAUAAAAUGAUUGCUUUAAAUACAAUGAACAUCAAUAAAUUCAAUUAGAAUG